CNGCAUGUAUAUCUGUGCCAGAGUGUC
rnacentral:piRNA from 1 species